AGAAACUUAGGUUAAUAUACCAAACCAAGGGCCUUCAAAGCCCUAAACAUGAGCCCCACAUCUCUUAGUUUCUG
rnacentral:tRNA from 1 species